rnacentral:lncRNA from 1 species
GGCCAUCUUUGAAUCUUCUGGCAGACUAGAGAAUCUCAGUCUCAGAAAUAAGAUUACAGUGGUUUAAGUUUUUCAUAUGUACUUAUUAUACACAAAAAUAACAUUAAAAGGUAACAGUAAUGAUGACAAUAGUAAUAGACUUAGGGCUCUAGAUAUAGGAAUUUUAGAUACCACCUUAAAUAUGUUCAGGGAGAUAAGAAACAAGAUUCAAAAUGUCAGAGCAAACAAAAAGAAGGCAAAUUUGGAAAAGAACCAAGUAGAAAUUUUAGAACUAUAAAAAUACAGUAACUGAAAUUAAAAACUCGAUGUACAGGUAGGUAGGUGCAAGUAGCUGGUAGUCCCAGUUACUCGGGGGGCUGAGGCUUGGGGGUAGCUGGAGCCCAGAAGUUCGAAACCAGCCAGGGUAAAAUAGUGAGGCCCUGUUUGAAAAGAAAAAUGGGGUGGGAGGGGGUGGGGAAAACAGAAAACUUAGUGGAUGAGUUUAGCAUCAGAUUAGACAUACUUGAAAAUAAGUGAACUGGAAGAUGGCUUAGAAGGAGAGAUCUGGAAUGAAGCUUCAAGAUACAGUAUUACAGAAGAAAGGAAAAGAUAUAGACUAUACAUCGAAAAGUUUUCGCAAAAAUUGGAAUAAUGAAAGGAGAGGGAAAGUUACAUGUAUAGCAGAAGCAGUAUUUUAAAAGGAAAUGAUACCUAAACCAUAGAUUCUCGAAGUUGUACACAUUGCAAGGAAGAUAAACAAAAAGAAAUCUACACCUAACUACAUCGUAAUAAAACUGCAAGAAACCAACGAAAAUAGGAAAGUCUAAAAGCAGCCACAAGGGAAAAAAAAUACGUUCAGAAAAGUAAUGAUUAGACUAACAGCUGACUUCACAACAGAAACAAUAGAAUCUACUAACUGCAAACCUAGAAUUUUGUUAAAUUUAGCAAAAAUACUUUCCAGGAAUGAAGAUGAAAUAAGGAGGGAAUUAAUUAACAGUGUACCAGCUGAAGGAAAUACAGAAGGAAAGAAAUGCAAGAAAGAAUGAUCUCAGAUGGAAGGUUAGAGAUGCAGGAGGGAGAAAAGAGCA